GACGAACGCUGGCGGCGGGCCUAACACAUGCAAGUCGAACGGAAAGACGGUGCUUGCUUGUGGAUCUCGAGUGGGGCGGGUGUGUGAUACCCAGGAGUCUGCCGGGCAGUGCUUUGUGAUGUCUUGAAACAGGUGGUGAUAAUACCUGAGUGGUGAUGCAGCUGCUUGGGGGUGUUUGGAAAGUAUCGGCGGAGGGGGGUGGACGCGGGGCUUAUCAGCUUGUUGGUGGGGUGGUGGCCGAGCAAGGCUUCGACGGGUAGCCGGCCUGGGAGGGUGACCGGCCACAUUGGGCCUGAGAGACGGCCCAGACUCCUACGGGAGGCAGCAGUGGGGAAUAUUGCCCAAUGGGCCGAAGCCUGAUGCAGCAACGCCGCGUGCGGGAUGACGGCCUUCGGGUUGUAAACCGCUUUCGCCUGUGACGAAGCGUGAGUGACGGUAAUGGGUAAAGAAGCACCGGCUAACUACGUG
rnacentral:rRNA from 1 species